GACUUCAAAUCCGAUGAUAUUUGUUUGUUGUUCUUGAUCUUGUGGUUGUUUGUGUAAAGUGGGUUCAACUCCCG
rnacentral:tRNA from 12 species